GGGAGUGUAGCACAGUCGUAGAGUGAGUGCUUAGCAUGCAUGAGGCCCUGGGUUUAAUUCUCAGUACUCCCC
rfam:Ictidomys tridecemlineatus contig042691, whole genome shotgun sequence.